UGCGUAGGUGGUUAUUUAAGUUAUCUGUGAAAUACCUGGGCUCAACCUGGGCAGGUCAGAUAAGACUGGAUGACUAGAGUAUAGGAGAGGGUAGUGGAAUUUCCGGUGUAGCGGUGAAAUGCGUAGAGAUCGGAAGGAACACCAGUGGCGAAGGCGGCUACCUGGCCUAAUACUGACACUGAGGCACGAAAGCGUGGGAGGCAAACA
rnacentral:rRNA from 1 species